rnacentral:lncRNA from 1 species
CCUUCCUUCACCGUGGAGCCUUGCCAGUUCUCUUUGGUAAAUGACCUGCGAGGCCCGUGCUGAGAAGAAGGAAGAGCAAGCCUGGGAAGAACCCAUGAAGAAUGGAAAGCAAAGAAAAGCAGACACACCUAUCGUUUCUAGAAUGCGUUGAAAGGAUCAUCAAAAUGAGGAAGAAAUUCACAGAGAGAAUUUUCCAGUAAACCUCUCAGAUCAUUGCAAACUUCCUGUUCCCAACCGUGGUUCCUCUUCUCGGCCGCUCAUUCCAGGCAGCGGGAGAGCUCAUAAUCAGCAGAAAAUUAACUCGGCAGGGUGUGCGCUGAAGCGCAUGGACUUCCACGGGAAGGAAGUUUUCAUUUUGUUUUCUUUUGUUUUUAUGAAACAUUGCUUUUUACUUGUGGUGUGCCUUUUGAAAUUAAGGAUUAUUUUUUUGAAGGUAGAGACUUUUUGGUUUAGCCCAGUUCUCAACACCUGGACCACAUUCAAUACAUAUUGUUGAAUUGAAUGUUUAAUAUGUGCUUCUCUUUGAUCAAAUAAAGAAUAUUUUACGGGAUUUUUCAUUUCAGCUGAGCUUAUAGGAAUAGGCGAUCUUUGGAAAUUAGGGAAAUCACUUCCUAGCGGCUGUGAUCCAAGUUUAAAUUCUGGGUCCUUGAGCAUACAUUUAAAACAAGGGCCUUUGACCCUUCGUGAAGUACAAAAUAAGCACAUAGCUAAUGUAAACUUCCUCUGAAAUCAGUGGUUAUCAGGCUUGGCUGCAGAGUGCAAUCACCUGGAGCAGGACAUGGGGUAGGAUUUUUUUUGCAAAUACUGAUGCCUGGAUCUCAGACCCAGAAAUUUUUCGUGUGGUUGAUCUAAUCUACAGCCUGGCCUUCGGGGUUUUUAAAGGCUUCCCAGGAGAGCCUAAUGGAUACCAAAGCUGAGUAUCAUCUUAAAUGAAUGAACACAUUUAAUCAGCAC